rnacentral:rRNA from 1 species
GAUGAACGCUGGCUACAGGCUUAACACGUGCAAGUCGAGGGGAAACGACGGGGAAGCUUGCUUCCCCGGGCGUCGACCGGCGCACGGGUGAGUAACGCGUAUCCAACCUGCCUCUGACUGAGGGAUAACCCGUCGAAAGUCGGCCUAAUACCUCAUGGUAUCGUCUGCGGGCAUCCAACGACGAUUAAAGAUUUCAUCGGUCAGGGAUGGGGAUGCGUCUGAUUAGCUUGUUGGCGGGGUAACGGCCCACCAAGGCUACGAUCAGUAGGGGUUCUGAGAGGAAGGUCCCCCACAUUGGAACUGAGACACGGUCCAAACUCCUACGGGAGGCAGCAGUGAGGAAUAUUGGUCAAUGGGCGAGAGCCUGAACCAGCCAAGUAGCGUGCAGGAAGUCGGCCCUAAGGGUUGUAAACUGCUUUUAUGCGGGGAUAAAGUGAGGGACGUGUCCCUCAUUGCAGGUACCGCAUGAAUAAGGACCGGCUAAUUCCGUG